rnacentral:tRNA from 1 species
AGUAGUGUGGCUCAGUGGCUAGAGCACAGGACUAGGAGUCAGAAAGACCUGGGUUCCAAUCCCAACUCUGCCA